rnacentral:rRNA from 1 species
UUGAACGCUGGCGGCAGGCCUAACACAUGCAAGUCGAGCGGUAACAGAAAGUAGCUUGCUACUUUGCUGACGAGCGGCGGACGGGUGAGUAAUGCUUGGGAACAUGCCUUGAGGUGGGGGACAACAGUUGGAAACGACUGCUAAUACCGCAUAAUGUCUACGGACCAAAGGGGGCUUCGGCUCUCGCCUUUAGAUUGGCCCCAAGUGGGAUUAGCUAGUUGGUGAGGUAAUGGCUCACCAAGGCGACGAUCCCUAGCUGGUUUGAGAGGAUGAUCAGCCACACUGGGACUGAGACACGGCCCAGACUCCUACGGGAGGCAGCAGUGGGGAAUAUUGCACAAUGGGCGCAAGCCUGNAUGCAGCCAUGCCGCGUGUGUGAAGAAGGCCUUCGGGUUGUAAAGCACUUUCAGUCAGGAGGAAAGGUUAGUAGUUAAUACCUGCUAGCUGUGACGUUACUGACAGAAGAAGCACCGGCUAACUCCGUGCCAGCAGCCGCGGUAAUACGGAGGGUGCGAGCGUUAAUCGGAAUUACUGGGCGUAAAGCGUACGCAGGCGGUUUGUUAAGCGAGAUGUGAAAGCCCCGGGCUCAACCUGGGAACUGCAUUUCGAACUGGCAAACUAGAGUGUGAUAGAGGGUGGUAGAAUUUCAGGUGUAGCGGUGAAAUGCGUAGAGAUCUGAAGGAAUACCGAUGGCGAAGGCAGCCACCUGGGUCAACACUGACGCUCAUGUACGAAAGCGUGGGGAGCAAACGGGAUUAGAUACCCCGGUAGUCCACGCCGUAAACGAUGUCUACUAGAAGCUCGGAGCCUCGGUUCUGUUUUUCAAAGCUAACGCAUUAAGUAGACCGCCUGGGGAGUACGGCCGCAAGGUUAAAACUCAAAUGAAUUGACGGGGGCCCGCACAAGCGGUGGAGCAUGUGGUUUAAUUCGAUGCAACGCGAAGAACCUUACCUACACUUGACAUACAGAGAACUUACCAGAGAUGGUUUGGUGCUUCGGGAACUCUGAUACAGGUGCUGCAUGGCUGUCGUCAGCUCGUGUUGUGAGAUGUUGGGUUAAGUCCCGCAACGAGCGCAACCC